rnacentral:rRNA from 1 species
UACGUAGGUGGCAAGCGUUGUCCGGAUUUACUGGGCGUAAAGAGCGCGCAGGCGGUCGGAUAAGUCGAAUGUGAAAGCCCCCGGCUCAACUGGGGAGGGUCAUUCGAUACUGUUCGACUCGAAGGCAGGAGAGGGUAGUGGAAUUCCCGGUGUAGUGGUGAAAUGCGUAGAUAUCGGGAGGAACACCAGUGGCGAAGGCGACUACCUGGCCUGUUCUUGACGCUGAGGCGCGAAAGCUAGGGGAGCAAACGGG